rnacentral:misc_RNA from 1 species
UUUCCGUAGGUGAACCUGCGGAAGGAUCAUUAUUGUAUAACCGAGGUGCGAGGGCUGUCGCUGACCCGAAAGGUCGUGCACGCCCGAGUGCCCUCACACACAUCCAUCUCACCCCUAUGUGCACCACCGCGUGGGUCCCCCUUUGGCUUGUUCGGAGGGGGGCUUACGUUUUCACAUAAACCCCCCUUUUAAAAGUGUAGAAUGACCACAUUUAUGCAAUCAAUACAACUUUCAACAACGGAUCUCUUGGCUCUC